UCCCAUUGUUUCAUUGGGUUUUCUUUUUCUAGUGGUGGAGAGGGAAGGAAAUAAAUAUUUUUUUAAUUGGGAAUUUUUUUUAAUUAAAAAAAAAGAACACUAGAUUGAAUCGUUAUCAGUAGAGUAUGUGUUCUGGAGAGUGGAAAGAGAUACAAAAUGAAGAGGAAUCAAUGUCAAAAUCAUGGAAACAUAAUGAAAAUCUUUCCAGCACCAUUUGGCAUUUCAGCAGAGGGAAAAUUUGGACGAACCAGGCAUCUAUUUUCCCCUUCAAGGACAGAGUUCAUAGAGCAGAUUUCCUUCUGUCAUACCUGUCCUGUGAUCAUAGCAGGCCUCCUUUCUGAACUCUAGGCUCUCAACAAAAACGUGGAUGACAGAUUAAAGGAGCCACCGUGGCCAGUUUGGCUGCCAGGGGAAAUCAAUCUGAGAACAACCAAUUCAACAGAGACUUGCUCAGGCAGUGUCUGAGAACUAACUCAGGACUCCUCACUCCUGUUCAAUAGAGAACCCUGCACUUAACCUCUUAUCCCCUUGCCGUAAAAUGGAAAUGAGUCAUGGCUCCCUCAGAGCAAUAACAUUAGGUUUUAAUGAGUGUUUCUGAAGGAACUUUGAGAACUAUUGAUUUCGUUUUGCAUCGUAGAUUGGCUGCGUUUCUCUAGGACUAAAAACAAACUCUUCUGGCCAUUUGGAACCAUUGGAGCACCUGCUCUAAGCGGUCUGUAGUCCCACUCCUGGUGCUUCUCAGGAGAAUCCAAAUGGGCUGCCUUGGUACAAUGGGGGAUUCUGGGGCUAUUAAUAAACGCUCGCCUUCUCCGCUGCUGAGGAUGUCUGCUUUUAGCAAAUGCUUUUGUGGGACAGGAAGUUUUAUGUGGGGUUAAGAAAGCAGAGGUAGCAUAAUGACUAGAAUGUGGCCCCAGAGCCCUACAGGCCAGUCCUAGUCCCAUUUUCACUACACAGGCUCGUAUGACAUUGGGCAAGUCAUCUGAUCUCUCAGUGCCUCCGCUAACUCUCUGCCUAGACGCUGAUGAGUGAAAUCAUAGGCACAGCCUCCCUGUUGCACCCCCAAACAGGGAAAUUUCAGAAAAGCUGGAGCAUCUCGAAGACUGUUGAGAGUUCCUGUGCCUCAAGUUUCCCAUGUGAAUGUGGCUUGCAGGGGAGGUGAAAAUUGCUGUAAGCAAGCUAAAAAAGAGGCAGGAUAGGAGGGGAGGGGAGCAUCUUUGAAGCAGUGGACCUGUUAUCUUUUAAAGUCCACCCUAACCAUGAAGGACGGGAAGUCACUGCUAAGAAAGCAGAUGGGCGAGGGGAGAUUGAUUUCUGACCUCCAGGAAAGAGGCUUUUAUUGUGGAUGGUGCUGCUGAAAAGGGGCCAACAGGCAUGUCCCAGAGGAAUUUUGGUGCCAAGCAAGGCUGCAAAAAGAAAGCUGACCCAGUCCUUUUUCUUCAUACUGACUGCCUGCUCAGAAAUUAUAUCAGAGGAUCACAUUGAGAAAGCCAGCCUUGAAGAAAAGGGGAAUUAUUGAGACUUUACAGGAGAGCCUGAUUCUGAAUAAGUAUUUAAGGGAAAUGGGACGUACAGCAAACAGAGAGAAGCAGUAUAUUCAUUGCCUCUGUAUGGAACUAUUGUUCUGCUCUGUGCCCCUUUGCCUGCUUUGGAGAGCUUCUCCCUGCCAGCCAUUCAGGAGCAGGCUCUUUGUUCUUUGUGGACCACCACACUGAGAGGGAAAAAAUGGGCAAAUGGCUCCCAAAAAAGGUGCAUAAACAAAUGGAUUGUGGACAUUCUGUAGACACAAAAUUAAUUGCAGGCGAUCUUUUUAGACUUCAGGGCUUUUUCUGGCAUACUUCUGGCAGCUCUGUAUUCUGGGGUUUAAAAGAUGAAUAUCGUUUUAAAAUUACGAUAUCACAUUUUCAAGGAAAGGUAAAAAUAAAUCUCAAAUAAACCUUUUCAGUAACACAGUUAGCAUUUUUAGCACAUGAUAUAAAUAGUAAAAAGGUUGGUGUGAUGCAAAGCAGCUGUCUUGUCACUGGAUCUUUAUGCCUUGAAUCUUCAGGCUGGCAGGAAAAAGAAGAGCAUUACGAUUUUUUAAUACUUCUCGGCACUUUUUUGAAGGUUUGCAAUUGGAAAAGAGCCCAUCCAAAUGGAACAGGGGGGAAAGGACUUGUGGGAUAAAUUGGGACGCAGCUGAGAUCCCUCCAGAAUGUAAGCAGAAUUUUUUCUUCCACAGGACCAAUGGCUGAGGAGGCAUGCUCCCCACCCUCCCCACAGAAAGGGAAUGGAUGGAACACCUCAGGGUACAGAAGGAGACUGAUGUUUUUGGACAUUGUCAGUGCAGGAAUUUGUUUUUCUUGAUUAUGAGUAUUUGUUGAGAGAGAUGCCUGGCAUUUGAUACAUCCCUGUUUCUGAUUGCUCGCUGGAUUAGGAUCAAUUUGUAAUAUUCUACCACCUGGUCUAGAUCUCUGAAUAUACCACCAUCGCCUCGAGGGUGCAUUUCGCUUCUCAUGGAAUAUGAUUUGAAAUGAGAGUAUUUUACAUGCUCUGCAUCGAGUAUUAGUCAUGAUUAGUCAAGCGACAAAAAUGUCACUCAUCUCUGCUUCGUCCCCUUAAAUGUCCUGAUAGCUAGAAGGGUCUUCAACUUUGGAAACAGAGUCUUGGGCCCAACUGUGCCAUUUUGCCCAGGAAGUCAAUUCAACUCACCGCUCUACUUGGAGGUAAAUACAAAAGUGACAGUUAAUGUGCCCAAGGAACGUAUUCUAUGGACAGGGGAAUAACAUAGGGGGACUUGGGUUUAUAUAUGCACAGGUGUGCAUAUACAUAUACAUACCUAAGAAACAUGAGCAUGUAGAUUUAUGUGAACAUGUAUGCUGGUAUUCAUAUGUGACGUUUAAAUAUCUAUAUAAUUAAUGCACAGUUAAAAGGGAAGAAGCACUAAUUACUGGGAGAAACAAUAAA